rfam:Rhizopus microsporus genome assembly, contig: SCAF290
AUCAGUUUGUCCGAGUGGUUAAGGAGUUAGACUUGAAAUCUAAUGGGCUCCGCCCGCACAGGUUCGAACCCUGUAGCUGAUG